UGGUGGAGUGAUUUGUCAGCUUAAUUGCCUUAACGAACGAGACCUUAACCUGCUAAAUAGGCGCAGCUAAUACCUAGCUGUUGUCUUCUUAGAGGGACUACGUCCAAAAACGUGGAAGUUUGAGGCAAUAACA
rnacentral:rRNA from 1 species